rnacentral:rRNA from 1 species
CGCUGGCGGCGUGCCUAAUACAUGCAAGUCGAGCGAACGGACGAGAAGCUUGCUUCUCUGAUGUUAGCGGCGGACGGGUGAGUAACACGUGGAUAACCUACCUAUAAGACUGGGAUAACUUCGGGAAACCGGAGCUAAUACCGGAUAAUAUUUUGAACCGCAUGGUUCAAAAGUGAAAGACGGUCUUGCUGUCACUUAUAGAUGGAUCCGCGCUGCAUUAGCUAGUUGGUAAGGUAACGGCUUACCAAGGCAACGAUGCAUAGCCGACCUGAGAGGGUGAUCGGCCACACUGGAACUGAGACACGGUCCAGACUCCUACGGGAGGCAGCAGUAGGGAAUCUUCCGCAAUGGGCGAAAGCCUGACGGAGCAACGCCGCGUGAGUGAUGAAGGUCUUCGGAUCGUAAAACUCUGUUAUUAGGGAAGAACAUAUGUGUAGGUAACUGUGCACAUCUUGACGGUACCUAAUCAGAAAGCCACGGCUAACUACGUGCCAGCAGCCGCGGUAAUACGUAGGUGGCAAGCGUUAUCCGGAAUUACUGGGCGUAAAGCGCGCGUAGGCGGUUUUUUAAGUCUGAUGUGAAAGCCCACGGCUCAACCGUGGAGGGUCAUUGGAAACUGGAAAACUUGAGUGCAGAAGAGGAAAGUGGAAUUCCAUGUGUAGCGGUGAAAUGCGCAGAGAUAUGGAGGAACACCAGUGGCGAAGGCGACUUUCUGGUCUGUAACUGACGCUGAUGUGCGAAAGCGUGGGGAUCAAACAGGAUUAGAUACCCUGGUAGUCC